rnacentral:rRNA from 1 species
GACGUAGGAUGCGAGCGUUGUCCGGAUUCAUUGGGCGUAAAGAGUUCGUAGGCGGUUUGUUAAGUCUGGUGUAAAAGGCUCGGGCCCAACCCGGGUAUAGCACUGGAUACUGGCAGACUGGAGUGCAGUAGAGGCGAGUGGAAUUCCCAGUGUAGCGGUGAAAUGCGUAGAUAUUGGGAAGAACACCGGUGGCGCAGGCGA